GACGAACGCUGGCGGCGUGCUUAACACAUGCAAGUCGAACGGAAAGGCCCCUUUGGGGGUACUCGAGUGGCGAACGGGUGCGUAACACGUGAGUAACCUUCCCUUGACUUCGGGAUAACUUCAGGAAACUGGGGCUAAUACCGGAUAGGAAUCCUUGCUGCAUGGUGGGGGUUGGAAAGCUUCGGCGGUUUUGGAUGGACUCGCGGCUUAUCAGCUUGUUGGUGGGGUAGUGGCUUACCAAGGCUUUGACGGGUAGCCGGCCUGAGAGGGCGACCGGCCACAUUGGGACUGAGAUACGGCCCAGACUCCUACGGGAGGCAGCAGUGGGGAAUAUUGCACAAGGGGCGGAAGCCUGAUGCAGCAACGCCGCGUGCGGGAUGACGGCCUUCGGGUUGUAAACCGCUUUCAGCAGGGGCGAAGCUUGUGGUGACGGUACCUGCAGAAGAAGCACCGGCUAACUACGUG
rnacentral:rRNA from 1 species